AGCAGUAGCCGCGGGAAUACGUAGGUGGCAAGCGUUGUCCGGAAUUAUUGGGCGUAAAGCGCGCGCAGGCGGAUCAGUCAGUCUGUCUUAAAAGUCCGGGGCUUAACCCCGUGAUGGGAUGGAAACUGCUGAUCUAGAGUAUCGGAGAGGAAAGUGGAAUUCCUAGUGUAGCGGUGAAAUGCGUAGAUAUUAGGAAGAACACCAGUGGCGAAGGCGACUUUCUGGACGAAAACUGACGCUGAGGCGCGAAAGCCAGGGGAGCGAACGGGAUUAGAUACCCCCCGUAGUCCCUGUCUCUUAUAC
rnacentral:rRNA from 1 species